rnacentral:rRNA from 1 species
UACGUAGGGGGCAAGCGUUGUCCGGAAUCAUUGGGCGUAAAGAGCGUGUAGGCGGCUCGAUAAGUCUGCUGUGAAAGUCCAGGGCUCAACCCUGGAAGGCCGGUGGAAACUGUCGGGCUAGAGUCCGGAAGAGGAGUGUGGAAUUCCCGGUGUAGCGGUGAAAUGCGCAGAUAUCGGGAAGAACACCCGUGGCGAAGGCGGCACUCUGGGACGGUACUGACGCUGAGGCGCGAAAGCGUGGGGAGCAAACAGG